ACCUACGGGGGGCAGCAGUGAGGAAUAUUGGUCAAUGGGCUUACGCCUGAACCAGCCAAGUCGCGUGAGGGAAGACUGCCCUAUGGGUUGUAAACCUCUUUUGUCAGGGAGCAACGCCGGCUACGUGUAGCCGGACUGAGAGUACCUGAAGAAAAAGCAUCGGCUAACUCCGUGCCAGCAGCCGCGGUAAUACGUAGGGAGCAAGCGUUAUCCGGAAUUAUUGGGUGUAAAGGGUGCGUAGACGGGAUGUCAAGUUAGUUGUGAAAUACCUCGGCUCAACUGAGGAACUGCAACUAAAACUAACA
rnacentral:rRNA from 1 species